CACGCUCGUAAAAUUCGUCUGCGAUGACCCACUCCCUCACGUGUUUUAGUGUUCUGCACUUGCUAGCAUUCUCUGCUGUGCGCGAAAUUAUAAGGUGCGUUUUAUCGUUGGUGAGCGUCUUGAGUGAAGUGUCCAUCGGGCAGCGGAACGGUGCGGAAUACAUUUGGCGCCGAGUGCUUUCGUCGGUUACGGCGGAAAUGAUGUGCUGUGCAAGCAUGCUGUAGCAACAAGCGUAUGCCUAGCGACCCAUGUCUUCUUGAGAAGAAACCAGGGCAAUGCAACCUGGAGUCUCCGGGGCGGUGCUGGAACCAUUUUUAUUACGUUUUUCAUCCAUAUUGCAGUUUGGCUUGAAUAUUUUGUGAGAAGAUUGAAUAAAAGAAGCCAUGCGAGAUGAA